UACGUAGGGUGCAAGCGUUAAUCGGAAUUACUGGGCGUAAAGCGUGCGCAGGCGGUUAUGUAAGACAGGUGUGAAAUCCCCGGGCUAACCUGGGAACUGCAUUUGUGACUGCAUAGCUAGAGUACGGUAGAGGGGGAUGGAAUUCCGCGUGUAGCAGUGAAAUGCGUAGAGAUGUGGAGGAACACCGAUGGCGAAGGCAGCCCCCUGGGCUGAGAUUGACGCUCAGGCACGAAAGCGUGGGGAGCAAACAGG
rnacentral:rRNA from 1 species